CGUAACACGUAUGUAACCUACCCUUAUCAGGGGGGAUAGCCUCUCGAAAGAGAGAUUAAGCCCGCAUAAAAUCACAGGGCAGCAUUGUCUAAUGAUCAAAUAUUUAUAGGAUAAGGAUGGGCAUGCGGAACAUUAGCUAGUUGGUAAGGUAACGGCUUACCAAGGCUACGAUGUUUAGGGGAUCUGAGAGGAUGACCCCCCACACUGGUACUGAGACACGGACCAG
rnacentral:rRNA from 1 species